rnacentral:rRNA from 1 species
CACGUAGUUAGCCGGUGCUUCUUCUCCAGGUACCGUCACCUAAAAGGCUUCGUCCCUAGCGAAAGGAGUUUACAACCCGAAGGCCGUCAUCCCCCACGCGGCGUCGCUGCAUCAGGCUUGCGCCCAUUGUGCAAUAUUCCCCACUGCUGCCUCCCGUAGGAGUCUGGGCCGUGUCUCAGUCCCAAUGUGGCCGUACACCCUCUCAGGCCGGCUACCCGUCGACGCCUUGGUAGGCCAUUACCCCACCAACAAGCUGAUAGGCCGCAGGCUCAUCCCACACCGCAAAAGCUUUCCACACCACCCCUACAGUGGUGUGAGUAUUCGGUAUUAGACCCAGUUUCCCAGGCUUAUCCCAAAGUGCAGGGCAGAUCACCCACGUGUUACUCACCCGUUCGCCACUCAUCCACCCCAGCAAGCUGGGACUUCAGCGUUCGACUUGCAUGUGUUAAGCACGCCGCCAGCGUGUCCUCGUAGCCACGGAGUCAACUAC